rnacentral:rRNA from 1 species
CCUACGGGAGGCUGCAGUGGGGAAUAUUGCACAAUGGGGGGAACCCUGAUGCAGCGACGCCGCGUGAGUGAAGAAGUAUUUCGGUAUGUAAAGUUCUGUCAGCAGGGAAGAAGAAAGACGGUACCUGACCAAGAAGCCCCGGCUAACUACGUGCCAGCAGCCGCGGUAAUACGGAGGGGGCAAGCGUUAUUCGGACUUACUGGGCGGAAAGGGAUCGUAGACGGCAGGGCAAGUCUGGAGUGAAAGGCAGGGGCCCAACCCCUGGACUGCUCUGGAAACUGUCCGGCUGGAGUGCAGGAGAGGUGAGUAGAAUUCCAGGUGUAGCGGUGAAAUGCGUAGAGAUUAGGAGGAACACCAGUGGCGAAGGCGGCUUACUGGAC